rnacentral:lncRNA from 1 species
AUGGUCAGGGGGAGGAGGUGCAGGGUCCCUCAGGAUGGUCAGGGGGAGGAGGUGCAGGGUCCCUCAGGAUGGUCAGGGGGAGGAGGUCCGGGGCCCUCAGGAUGGUCAGGGGAGGAGGUCGGGGUCCCUCAGGAUGGUCAGGGGGAGGAGGUCAGGGGCCCUCAGGAUGGUCAGGGGAGGAGGUCGGGGUCCCUCAGGAUGGUCAGGGGGAGGAGGUCCGGGUCCCUCAGGAUGGUCGGGGGAGGAGGUCGGGGUCCCUCAGGAUGGUCGGGGGAGGAGGUCGGGUCCCUAGGAUGGUCGGGGGGAGGAGGUGCAGAGUCCCUCAGGAUGGUCAGGGGGAGGAGGUACAAGGGCCCUCAGGAUGGUCAGGGGGAGGAGGUGCAGGGUCCCUCAGGAUGGUCGGGGGGAGGAGGUCGGGGUCCCUCAGGAUGGUCGGGGGAGGAGGUCCGGGGCCCUCAGGAUGGUCGGGGGAGGAGGUGCAGGGUCCCUCAGGAUGGUCAGGGGAGGAGGUACAAGGGCCCUCAGGAUGGUCAGGGGGAGGAGGUCCGGGGCCCUCAGGAUGGUCGGGGGAGGAGGUCGGGGUCCCUCAGGAUGGUCGGGGGAGGAGGUCGGGUCCCUAGGAUGGUCGGGGGGAGGAGGUGCAGAGUCCCUCAGGAUGGUCAGGGGGAGGAGGUACAAGGGCCCUCAGGAUGGUCAGGGGGAGGAGGUGCAGGGUCCCUCAGGAUGGUCGGGGGAGGAGGUCGGGGUCCCUCAGGAUGGUCGGGGGAGGAGGUCCGGGGCCCUCAGGAUGGUCGGGGGAGGAGGUGCAGGGUCCCUCAGGAUGGUCAGGGGAGGAGGUACAAGGGCCCUCAGGAUGGUCAGGGGGAGGAGGUCCGGGGCCCUCAGGAUGGUCGGGGGAGGAGGUCGGGGCCGCCGCGCUGGUCAGGCGGGGACUCCCCUGAGGCUCUCACUCCGCACGGCGCACGUGCAGCUCUUUCGAAGCGAGAGCCCCGCAUCAGCACACGGACCCGCGCCCGGGCCCCGGGUUCCCGCUCCGGCACCGCCCGCAGCACCUCAGCGACACUCACCUCCAGCCCCACCGUUCGCCGGAAGCGCUCGAUCCCCAGCGCGGCGGCGCGGCACUUCCGGUUACGCUCUAGGCCGCGGGAGGCCGUGCACUCGGCUGCUCCCCGCGCGGGCUCCGCAUCAGGCGCGCUGGUCCUUCCUCCCGCGCGGGUCUUAGCCGGGACCCCCCGCUCCCGCCCGCCGGCCUCCAGCCAGGCCCGGGUGCGGUGA